GGGCAUCUGGAGAGGUGAAUUCACCAGAUGGCUAGUGAAUGAACAGUAUGUUACAACAAGGAUAGAGAAGUAGCAUGUUGAGCUCCAGGGUUCCCAUGGUGUUUGAAAUGAUGUCAGUCCUCUUUCUACUUGUAGUUUUUAAUUUAACAGGUGUUUACAGUGUGGACCUCACUCCUGUCGAGCAGAAAGAGAAAAAUAUAGAAGGUACAAGUGUUACUCUGUCCUACACGCUCUCUAAAACUGCCGCAGGGAACGAUUAUUUCUUCUGGUACCGUCAGUAUCCUGGAGAACCUCCACAGUUCCUGCUGUCCAUCUCAGGGUUUGGUAUCAAAAAGACAGCAGAGUCUCUUGGUUCAGACAAAAGGUUUUCUACUGAACUGACUGAAGAGAAGACUAGGGUGGAUCUGAAGAUCUCCUCUGUUGCAGUGACAGACUCUGCUCUGUACUACUGUCCUCUGCAGCCCACAGUCGUAAACACAGACUCCCUGUACAAAAACCUGCUGAGCACAGAACAAUCUUUCAACUCCCCCUGA